AAAACUGUCAAAAAAUAUCAUAGUGUAGUGAGGUGUCAAAAAUGUCAGUAUAGUAAAGUGCCAAAAAAUAUAGUAGUGUAAGGCGCCAAAAAAUGUCAUAGUAUAGUAAGGUGUCAAAAACUGUCAAAAAAUGUCAUAGUGUAGUAUGGCGUUGAAAACUGUCAAAAAAAUGUCAUAGUAUAGUAAGGUGUCAAAAACUGUCAAAAAAUAUCAUAGUGUAGUAAGGCGUCAAAAAAUGUCAUAGUAUAGUAAGGUGUCAAAAACUCUCAAAAAAUGUCAUAGUAUAGUAUGGUGUCAAAAACUGUCAAAAAAUAUCAUAGUAUAGUAAGGUGUCAAAAACUCUCAAAAAAUGUCAUAGUGUAGUAAGGUGUCAAAAACUGUCAAAAAAUGUCAUAGUAUAGUAAGGUGCCAAAAAAUAUAGUACUGUAAGGCAUCAAAAAAUGUCAUAGUAUAGUAAGGUGUCAAAAACUCAAAAAAUGUCAUAGUGUAGUAAGGCGUUGAAAACUGUCAAAAAAAUGUCAUAGUACAGUAAGGUGUCAAAAAAUGUUAUAAUUUAGUAAGGUGUCAAAAACUGUCAAAAAAUAUCAUAGUGUAGUGAGGUGUCAAAAAAUGUCAGUAUAGUAAGGUGCCAAAAAAUAUAGUAGUGUAAGGUGUCAAAAACUGUCAAAAAAUGUCAUAGUGUAGUAAGGCGUUGAAAACUGUCAAAAAAAAUGUCAUAGUAUAGUAAGGUGCCAAAAAAUAUAGUACUGUAAAGCGUCAAAAAAUGUCAUAGUAUAGUAAGGUGUCAAAAACUCAAAAAAUGUCAUAGUGUAGUAUGGCGUUGAAAACUGUCAAAAAAAUGUCAUAGUACAGUAAGGUCAAAAAAUGUUAUAAUAUAGUAAGGUGUCAAAAACUGUCAAGAAAUGUCAUAAUAUAUUAAGGUGCCAAAAAAUAUAGUACUGUAAGGCGUCAAAAAAUGUCAUAGUAUAGUAAGGUGUCAAAAACUGUCAAAAAAUAUCAUAGUGUAGUAAGGCGUCAAAAAAUAUCAUAGUACAGUAAGGUGUCAAAAAAUGUUAUAAUAUAGUAAGGUGUCAAAAACUGUCAAAAAAUGUCAUGGUGUAGUGAGGUGUCAAAAAAUGUCAGUAUAGUAAGGCACCAAAAAAUGUCAUAGUAUAGUAAGGUGUCAAAAACUGUCAAAAAAUGUCAUAGUAUAGUAAGGUGCCAAAAAAUAUAGUACUGUAAGGCGUCAAAAAAUGUCAUAGUAUAGUAAGGUGUCAAAAACUGUCAAAAAUAUCAUAGUGUAGUAAGGCGUUGAAAACUGUCAAAAAAAAUGUCAUAGUACAGUAAGGUGUCAAAAAAUGUCAUAGUAUAGUAAGGUGUCAAAAACUGUCAAAAAAAUGUCAUAGUAUAGUAAGGUGUCAAAAAAUGUUAUAAUAUAGUAAGGUGUCAAAAACUGUCAAAAAAUGUCAUAGUACAGUAAGGUGUCAAAAACUGUCAAAAAAUGUCAUGGUGUAAUGAGGUGUCA